GAUGAACGCUAGCGACAGGCUUAACACAUGCAAGUCGAGGGGCAGCGGGGGAGUAGCAAUACUCCCGCCGGCGACCGGCGCACGGGUGAGUAACACGUAUCCAACCUGCCGAUGACUCGGGGAUAGCCUUUCGAAAGAAAGAUUAAUACCCGAUGGCAUAGUUCUUCCGCAUGGUAGAACUAUUAAAGAAUUUCGGUCAUCGAUGGGGAUGCGUUCCAUUAGCUUGUUGGCGGGGUAACGGCCCACCAAGGCAUCGAUGGAUAGGGGUUCUGAGAGGAAGGUCCCCCACAUUGGAACUGAGACACGGUCCAA
rnacentral:rRNA from 1 species